UACGGGGGGGGCAAGCGUUGUUCGGAAUUACUGGGCGUAAAGCGCACGUAGGCGGAUAUUUAAGUCAGGGGUGAAAUCCCAGAGCUCAACUCUGGAACUGCCUUUGAUACUGGGUAUCUUGAGUAUGGAAGAGGUAAGUGGAAUUGCGAGUGUAGCGGUGAAAUGCGUAGAUAUCAGGAGGAACACCUGUGGUGUAGACAGCUUACUGGACCAUUUCUGACGCUGAGACACGAAAGCGUGGGUAGCAAACAGG
rnacentral:rRNA from 1 species